GGCCAUCUGAAUAAAUAUAUUUCCUAUGGGAACUCAGUGUUAUUUGCUCUGGCUCCUAAUGAUUUUAUCUCGGACAUUCAACGUUGCCUUUGCCCAACUCCGCGCAUUAAACAGUAGUUUAUUGAAUAGACCCCCCCCUUUUU